rnacentral:rRNA from 1 species
UACGAAGGGGGGCUAGCGUUGCUCGGAAUCACUGGGCGUAAAGCGCGCGUAGGCGGCCCGGUAAGUCCGUUGUGAAAGUCAAAGGCUCAACCUUUGAACGCCGAUGGAUACUGCCGGGCUAGAGUCCGGAAGAGGCGAGUGGAAUUCCUGGUGUAGCGGUGAAAUGCGCAGAUAUCAGGAAGAACACCAAUGGCGAAGGCAGCUCUCUGGGACGGUACUGACGCUGAGACGCGAAAGCGUGGGGAGCGAACAGG